AGGGGAAUGGUCGGGAUAGCUCAGCUGGUAGAGCAAAAGACUGAAAAUCCUCGUGUCACCAGU
rnacentral:tRNA from 1 species